GCGCUUGAUUGAUACAUAUCGUUGCUUAUUGCUCUUCUAGAUCCAUUUUAUGUGAUAGGAUUGGGGAUCUUGGAGCACUACACUGGCCGGCAGGGGGGUUGAAGUGCGGACGACGGGGGAGCACAUGCGGGUCAGCGGCAGCCGGUAGGGGCAAGGGAAGUGCAGUUUGCACAAACCGUUGGAGAGAUUAUGGUUGAAGUGAAGAUGCAAAUGCAGGUUUAUGAAAGCAUCUGAUAGUUUUGCUCGCAGCUCUGAAAAUAUACCUCAUUUAGUCAUUUAUCUCAUUUGUAAGGUUUGCGCAAAUCGUUGGCGAGGUCAUGGAGUUGGAUAUUUUUUGUACCACGAUGAUGGAGCCAAUCAGUCCAUGUGGCCAAUCUAUCCCCAUGGUUGAGCAGAGCCGCUGAUGGACACUUUCACCAGGAGGAUGGUUGGAUGUAGAGAGUGGUGAUGCAGCGCUGCUCUGGACCUCUCCUCCGGCCACGUCGAUUCCACCCGAUGCAGCAUUGACGAAGUUUUUUGUAUCUACAAUCCACGAAGUUUUCUAUAUCUACAGGCCAAGCAUUCUUUAUAGCUUCCCAUCGCUACAACCCACUGCUUCAUCAAAAGGAGGUGUUAGCAGAGAAUAUGUUCACACAAAUGGUUUACUAUGUUCUUUGGAAUGGAAAUGUUUAUGGAAGAGAAACCAUGGGAAUCCAGCCUGGUUAUUUUACAGUAAAGCAAAUGCAUCAGAGAGGGCAAUGGUUGCUGGUCUGGGAGGACUCUAUUUUGUUGGUGUAAAUUUUCUGGGAAACUUAUUGAAAUGGUUGCUGCUACGCAAGACCAACAGUGGCAUCGCAAAGAGGAACAAGGCCAGAGAAGGGAGAGCCCAUGAACUGGUUUCGCCAGAACCUUCUCCCAGAAGAAAGCUAUUUCCCAUGCUUCAGACAUGUUUGGAGAAAAGCCAGGUAUAGUCCUGAGCAGUUUCGCUUUAACCCGAUAGGCUGAAAUUUGUACGAGCAAGAAGUGCAAUUGACAAGUUGAUUGGUUUGCAUCCAUGCCGACUGGAGCGAGGAUGUCGUCGCUGGAAAUUGCUCCUGGUGCAGAAGAUUUCCAUGGUGGCAUUAGGCAGUUCCCAGACACGUGAGGCAUCCCUAUGGGUCGACAUGACAUUUAAGAUCUAUCAUAUAUGCACAAGGAUUUUGAUCUAAGAUUUACAUUAUUUACCAAAAGAUACCUGAAACUAAAGGAAGGUUAGUUGAUUAAAAUACAUUUAGCAUUUCCCUGAAAGAAGAAAAGAUUAGACAAUUGAAAUUAUUUCUCUUAUAGUACCUCACUAAUUUUGCUACCUACUGGAAGAUGUCGUUCAGGAUGUUCUCCUUGCUCGUGCUUUGCUCCAAGUUUGUUUUUUUGGCGAUGCCGAGAUACGAAAAGAGACUAAUGUUUGUGGGAUUCAUGGUUAUUGGUCUUAUCUUCACAGCGCAUUGGGAUGGAUAUCCUCGGCCAGAGCAGGGCGUUGGCACUAGCGAUAUUACUGUCUUUGCACAAUGUUACUAACAUACUAAGCACACCAUGUAUAAAAUUGUUGGUUCUCUAUUCAAAUGCGGGUAGACACCAAGGAAAACAUGUAUCUGCUCUUUCUUGCCAGUUUUAACUUUUAAGCAGCAUCUACUUCAUGUUAUUUCACAUUUUCACUGGGCUCAUUUGGUGUGUCGUCGUUGUUGGUUAUUGAUUUGUCAGGUCUGCCUGGAGCAAAUUCCGUUCCUAUUAAUUUCUGUUUAUUUAUAAAAAUCCACUUGACAUUUUCUCAUGUGGAGUUUAUAUUUUUCCUAUGAAUUUAAUGUGCUCUGAUAUGUGCAGAUCAUAGUAACAAUGACAAGCUGGCCAACCAUGCCAGUGAGGCCAAACCGACACACCUCGCGGAAGGUGAUGUACCAUCGAUGCAUGUGGCGAUGUUGCUGUUGUCAUUGAGCCUGGCUUCUUUCCACUGAUUUGGUGCCAUGGCUGCAUCCUCUCUGUCUUCAUCAUGUCGAGAAGCCAAAUCGACAAAUUUAGAAAGGUCUUAAUGUUAGUAAUCCCUUCAUCUUAUAUCCAAAUUUAGUAAGAUCUUAAUGUUAGUAAUGUCCAGUUAUUAAUCUCAAUAGAUCUUCCUUUAUCAGUGCUCUUUUAUUAAAUAUUGAUUAAUUAAUAGUUGGUACUACAUAAAAGGGAUUACCAUAGGCUGGGCUAUCCUUUUGAAUUUAUAUUAAAAGUAUUCUCUUGAUCUAAGAAUGUUUGGAAUCUUGUUGCCCUGGCCAUUAAAAGCAAUUUAUUUUUCUGUUGAAAAUUGUUUUCUCUUUUUUCUAAUGGAGAAAGUAAAUAGCUGAACAUGUUUGUCGAGUUGGUACCUUUCCAUGUGGUACCUUAACUGGACAUAAAGUACCCUUUGGUAGAUCAGUUUCAGCCUCUCUCCCGUGAUCUCUCCCUCAUUCAUGGACAUCUGUUUUCCCUUAUUUGAUGAAAUCCAUCUUUUUGUAUAGGUUAUUUUUAUCCCCUUCUCUUCACGCCCGUAGCAAUGCCCACUUUAAUUGUGUAGUUGGUGUUCUUUUAUUUCUGUACAGUUUCGUUCAUUUCCUUCUACAUGAUUAAUAACACUUGAUUUGUGAUAUGCCUGAUGGAAAGGUGUAAUAUUCUUCAUAUGUUACAACAUUAUUUUUGUUGCUUCGGUCCAAGGCUUCAAGCUUAUGUGUCUGAUGGUCAGAUCGUCUGAUCUGAAGUGAUUUUACGUAUUCAUCAUUGCAAAGUAGUGAUGGUGGUUGGCGGGAGGUGGCACCGCCACCACACAUCGUGCCGGCGCUGGGAGGAGCUCUAGCGGCCGGCAGUAAGGGCUUGCUGUUGAACCGUCGCUGCACGUCAUGCCGUUGCUGGGAGUAGCCGCCUGUCUUGCACAUCACCGUUAUGUUAUGUUGGACUGCAUGACCUUCUCCGCCUUUUCACUAAGAUCUCCAGCCAGAAGCGCAACUUAGCGGAGGUUCUGGAGUGAUGGAGGUCUGAGAUCUUCGCCUCCGUCGUGCAAGGCAACUAGCGUAUGAAUACGUUGACCCAAGAUGGUGCUCACAUAUGCAGUAUUGCACUCGUCAAUGGCGACAUCCCAGUUCAUGUAAAAGUCAACAACCUCGAGCGCCCAUCAGCCGGUACCCUCUAGCCCUAGGGAAAGCCUUCUUGAGGAGGCAGGAGCGAUGCCUUAUGUCGAGGUUCCUAAUGAAAUGUAUGUAUGCCUUUUCCUUCAUGCCGCCGUUCUCGAAGAAAUUACAUGGCGGCGUUAGCAGACUACUGUAUCUACCUAAAUUCGCCUUACAACUCAAGAAGGUUAGAGAUUGAGCGUCGGAGAACAAUAUAAGAAAUAUGUUACUUUCCCAAUUAGAAAGGGUGUGCUAGAAGAAUACAUGCAUCUACUAGCCAUAUUUUCUCGAGACUUUUGUAUAUGUAACAAUUAUAUGUAUGUAUAGCAGUGUGCUUUGCUCGAGCUGAAGACUACCACUGAUGUGUAUUUCCCUGUGCUCUCCAAUAUGUAACUUUUAUGUAUGUAGGAGCAAUGUGUGUUACUCUUACUAAGACUAUCAUCGGUAUGUGUUCCCCAG